rnacentral:lncRNA from 1 species
UUCUAUUGUUUAUUGAAUCAAAUCAAUAAAAACUUGCUUCAUUCAUAUGAAAUUUAACAAUGUAUGUAGAAACACAGUAAAGCUCCUCUUUUCUCGUACCAGAUAAUUCAGAGUUCUCAUCAUGCUCAUUUUAUCUGGAUUGAUUCCUAUGCGAAGCUUCCGGUCGAAGUUAUAGAGAAAUUGAGCUAAAGGAAGCUCCAAUGCUAGCUAAGUCGUAGGUCAUUCAAGGACACAUUCUUCUACCUGUCCCAAACGGAAGACAUUCUAAGUGAUUUCUGCAAAAUCGAUAGGGUUAUUCUCAAAUCGCUCUGGCUCAAAACUUUCUGGUUUAUUCCAAUACUUGGGAUCUCUUCCCAUUCCAAAUAUAUUUACAAAGACUUUAGCUUUGUCAGGUAUAAGAUAUCCAUUGACUUCACAAUCUUCUCUGCAAGGUCUUGGGAUAAGAGAUGUCAAGAGUAUGUAGCCUCAAAGUUUCUUUUAUUACCAACUUAAGGUACUUCAACUUUUGAAUAUCAGUGGCUGUCGCUGAUUUCUCCAUUCCAGCUGAGAAAAUAUCCUACAACAAAUACACAAUCUUGUUAAUGAAAAUGUAACUAGGAACAUUACUUAAAAGAUUAUACAUAUAGCCAAAAUACUUGCAGCAAGAACAGCUUUGAUGUUGCCAUUGUCUCUAUUGGAAACACCAAUUUCCUUUACCUGUAACAGAACAUCCACUGCAUCUUCGUCUCCGAAUUCUCCAUUUCCUCUUCUUGUCAACUCUCUUCGAUCCAACCCUACAUUUGAAAUGGGCGGGCUAUCUUAAACAUCAUCUGAAACACUUGCCCUUUGAUAUUAAGAGGGACGAAAAAGGUUGUCUCCAUCGUUGGAUUUCUCCUCUGCCGUCAACUCACGUGUGUAGUAACAAGGAGUAACACAAAGAAUGUAACUUAGUAUCUCAAAAAAUUGCAUCCAUAAAUAGGAUUAACACGUAGUGUAAGUUACAAAUUUAGA